rnacentral:rRNA from 1 species
AUUGAACGCUGGCGGCAGGCCUAACACAUGCAAGUCGAGCGGUAGCACAGAGAGCUUGCUCUCGGGUGACGAGCGGCGGACGGGUGAGUAAUGUCUGGGAAACUGCCUGAUGGAGGGGGAUAACUACUGGAAACGGUAGCUAAUACCGCAUAACGUCGCAAGACCAAAGUGGGGGACCUUCGGGCCUCAUGCCAUCAGAUGUGCCCAGAUGGGAUUAGCUGGUAGGUGGGGUAACGGCUCACCUAGGCGACGAUCCCUAGGUGGUCUGAGAGGAUGACCCGCCACACUGGAACUGAGACACGGUCCAGACUCCUACGGGAGGCAGCAGUGGGGAAUAUUGCACAAUGGGCGCAAGCCUGAUGCAGCCAUGCCGCGUGUGUGAAGAAGGCCUUCGGGUUGUAAAGCACUUUCAGCGGGGAGGAAGGCGGUGAGGUUAAUAACCUCAUCGAUUGACGUUACCCGCAGAAGAAGCACCGGCUAACUCCGUGCCAGCAGCCGCGGUAACAC